CUUCCUCGUGAUGGUAUAGGAGUACAUACUAAUUCGAUAAACAAGAGGCGAAGUUGCCAACGCCUGAGAUAGUGGUUCCUACCUCUGGCCUUCGCACCUUUAGUUCCGCAAGUAGUUAAGCAACUCAAAUGGCCAGCGAUUUGCUUUCUCCUAGGUUUACAGUGGCUGCAGCCUCCUAUUUGUGACGUCGUAGCCCCAAAGUGGUACAUGUGUGAUCUUCAUGGAGCUAGCCAUCAUUGGAUUUGGUAAUACAUAAUCACUUAUUCAGAGAGCCCAAGGUGAGAAGGGACGAGCAUCUAGAACACCACCACCUACUAAUCAGUGAGCUACUAUCCGCCUUUGAAUGAGUUACUUAACAAGAGAAGGCAGGUAGCAAUAGAACACGUGCAAUCUCAAUGUUUACUAAGUAUCUAUUUCUGAAUUUAUUCGUUCCCAGCUGCUCUGAAUCUGGGUGUUUUGCUUGCUGCUUUGUAGGAGUUUCCUACCUUUCUUCUGCAAAUCUGGAAUGCCUUUAUGGCAUGAUCAUGUGAAAAAAGUACCUUGAUGCAGUAAUGGAUUUGAUUAUCACUGGUUACUCUGUUUUCACGAAUUACUAUCCAACUGUAAGUCUGUUCUAUACCCUAAGGCCCAUGUAAAUCUGAUAGAAGAUUAAGCUAUUUAAUUUUAACUAAAAAGGAUAAUAUUCUUUCAGUCGCUUGAAUCUGUCCAGACCUGAAAAAUACUUAUACUUUGAAAGCUUUAUAUAUGAGUAUGUAAUUUUACAGGUAUGUAGAUAGUCGAAAAUGUUAUUGUUCAAAUGUACUCGAGCCAGGUUUUCGGUGUUUCAUUGCAACCAAAAGAAUUGGUAAUAUUGUUUUGAUGAACACAUGGUCGCACUUGUCGGUGUUGUAGUGGCAUAGGAAAUUUUCCCCUAAGAUCCACUAUGAAGUUGAUUGAAAGUCCAUUUCCCCUAAGAUCCACUAUGACAAUGAAAAAGAUUUCUGAAAACUGUGUCACCAUAAAUGUUCCAUCAUUGUCCAUAGUAGUCCCAUGCCAUAUUAAUUUCAUAAGAAUAAUUUCUUAUUCAGAUGUUCAUUGUGUUUUUAUGUACUGCUAUAUCUAAAAAAGCAAGUUUCAGCUAAAACCAGAGCCGUGGUUAAGAUACUCUUCGCACCUAGGAUAUGUGUAUAUGUUUAGAUUGCUAACUUUAAACUAUAGUUUUAGAAAAUGUGGUGCCCUCGCUUAUUUUUCUAAUGCAUGAACUUAGGGUAAAUGUUUUAUGUGUAAUGCGUGCUUGAUUUCUUUUUGGUUCUGGUGGAUUUUGAUUUUCUCCACCAUGCUUCUCUCCAACGAGAUGAGUCUGUUUUCGCAGCAGCGGGUGAUGCAUGUGCUUAUUGUUGGUUGUUGCUAUGUGGUAUGCAUUUUCUCAUUGUUGGCUGUUUGUUGUUUGCUAUGAUUAAGAUACAUUGGCAUGUACAUUUUAUAUCAGUUUUGUUUUCAACACCACCUAUCACUGUAUAAUUUGCCGUUAAUAGAGUAGUUUCUCCUUUAUUGCAUUGCAUAAUGCUAGCAAGCUACAUUGCACCAUAAACAAAAAUAAUCCUCUUCCAAGGUUAAACCUGUUUUUUUCCUUCUAGCAAAGAUCAUUGGAAAAGAUCAAUUCCGUUAGCCUAUAAUAUUGCAGUUCUUUCGUAUCCUUCAAAGAUUUAUAAAUAUUUUCUGUUUCCACUCCAUUCGUUCUCAUGGAUUCUGAAAAAAAUAUUUUUGUUUUUUGUUGAUUAAUAAUAUUGCUUUCCCUUUCAGUUUUGAGGUGGUCGAUGCAUGUAGAAUAUACAGACUUUCCUAGAAUGGCGCCUUUUAGUUUUUCUGCUUGAUGUUAGUUCAUUGAUGAGAACACCUAUGUACAUGAUUGCUGCAUGCAUGAUAUCCUACUAUGUACUGAGAAAUAUUUUUGUUUUCCGGACAUUGUUUUCUAAAUCCUAUCAACAUAUUACCUGAUAUGGUCUUUGAAGUUUCUAUUUUAUAGCGACUCUUUGCACUGGUCAACUUGAGUAUGGUAUGGUUAUCUUUUCUUUUGUUUACAGGCGAUGUGUGGUAGAAGUUGUACUCACAGGAAGACUAUCGUGCUGUGUAUAAACCACGUUCUAUGAUUCACUUCUGUUAUACAUAUUUACUUUCCAGUUUUAGGACUGAAAUCCAUCCAUUGUAAUGAAUUUGGUUGUAUGGGCAUUACCUAUUUGACUUAGGCUUGCUUCAUCACAUAUAGACUGCUUUUCUUUUCCCCA